rnacentral:rRNA from 1 species
CCCUUAGAUGUCCUGGGCCGCACGCGUGCUACACUGACACUUACACCGAGUUUUUCCAAUGCCGAAAGGCCAUUGGUAAUCAGCAAUAAGUGUCGUGAUGGGGAUAGAUCUUUGGAAUUAUUGAUCUUGAACGAGGAAUGCCUAGUAAUCGUAGGUCAUCAGCCUGCGAUGAUUACGUCCCUGCCCUUUGUACACACCGCCCGUCGCACCUACCGAUUGAAUGGUCCGGUGAAAUUUCGGGACUGAUCGUUUGGUGGUUCAUUCUGCCUUACGAUCGGGAACUUACUUAAACCUUAUCAUUUAGAGGAAGGUGAAGUCGUANCA